rnacentral:snRNA from 1 species
ACACUUACCUGGCAGGGGUAUACCUUGAUCACACUAGUGGUUUUCCAAGGAGAGGCUUAUCCAUUGCACUCCAGAAGUGUUGACCCCUGUGAUUUCCCCAAAUAUGGGAAACCCAACUGCAUGGUCUGUGGUAGUGCAUUUGGGGGAAGGGAGGGGAAUGUU